GAUGAACGCUGGCGGCGUGCCUAAUACAUGCAAGUCGAGCGAACAGACGAGGAGCUUGCUCCUCUGACGUUAGCGGCGGACGGGUGAGUAACACGUGGAUAACCUACCUAUAAGACUGGGAUAACUUCGGGAAACCGGAGCUAAUACCGGAUAAUAUAUUGAACCGCAUGGUUCAAUAGUGAAAGACGGUUUUGCUGUCACUUAUAGAUGGAUCCGCGCCGCAUUAGCUAGUUGGUAAGGUAACGGCUUACCAAGGCAACGAUGCGUAGCCGACCUGAGAGGGUGAUAGCCCACACUGGAACUGAACCACGGUCAAGACUCCUACGGGAGGCAGCAGUAGGGAAUCUUCCGCAAUGGGCGAAAGCCUGACGGAGCAACGCCGCGUGAGUGAUGAAGGUCUUCGGAUCGUAAAACUCUGUUAUUAGGGAAGAACAAAUGUGUAAGUAACUAUGCACGUCUUGACGGUACCUAAUCAGAAAGCCACGGCUAACUACGUG
rnacentral:rRNA from 1 species